UUCCACCCAGUUCCUGAUCAGGAGAGGGCUGGACACUGACCCUUGAGGAAGGAGUGCGAGCAUGGUCACUGCAGAAAGUCCUCCUGCCUUGGAGCUUUAGGAUGUUGGGUUCCCGAACUCUAGUUGAAAAGCCUGGUGUUGAGCCUCCCACUGGCCAGUACGUCUCUCCAGCCUGGUUCUGGCUAAGAUGGAGCUAGAAGGCACGUCUCUCCUAUCCUCCCUACCAUCCCUGGACUCAGACCAGGUGUUUGGCAACGUCUUUGAGACAGGGUGGUUUCCAACCUGUCUUCCAUCCUGAGCUGUAUCUGACCCUUCUAAUUUUGGCCAGCUGGGACCAGCUCUGUCACCUCCGCCCCAUCUGACACAGGAGGAAACUGGUCCAGCCCUAGAGUGAAUCAGGUUGAAGUGAGAAAAGGGGGACAGACUACCCCAAGGGACUGCCAGUGUCAGGCCUGGAGAUUUCCCCCAUAUUCCUGCUGCACACAGCCCUUUUUGGACUGAGAGAAGCAGCUCCCAGCUCCCCUGCCUGGGCGCUGCCUAAAACUCUUAACCUCUUCUCCAAGAAACAGCCCCGGGAGUAUUACCCACUAACAGAGCCAUGAUUCACAACUCUAGCCACAGCAAAGGCCUGGCCUAUGUGGGUAGGCAUCCGUUGAUCCAGAUCAUGGGUACUGGGCAGGCUGGGAGGUACCCCAAGUGGGUAGGUCACACCCAAGUCCAGCCACAAGUUCUGGAGUCUCUGCCCUGUGUGCCCUGACUACACUAGAUUGGGAGGACAAGUUGCUUCCAGGCAGAAGAAAGCAACAACACUUCCUUUCCAGUUCAGCUUUAUUUUGCAAAAAUUUACAAGGCCUCCUUUGCACAGAGAUGCUUGUGGGGACCACAUGAAUCAAUGUGCCCUCAUAGUCCAGACUUGGUGGCAGAGACGGGACACAAGUGCCAUGGUAGACAGUGCCAUGGUCUUUCUUCCUGUGCCCUGGAUAAUUGGAUUAAAAAAAUUGGAUUUAGUGCCGUGGUAGACAGGAGGUGCAGAUGGACCCCAAAAAGGAAGAGAUCAAGAAGUCUUCCCAGAGUAGAAGAUUCUUGCCAAUAUGUCAGAUGGAGAAGGGAGAUUGGCAAGAACAGAAGUCUGGAAGGUUAUGAGAACAGGGUGCAUCUAGGAAGGACAAGGUGUCCAGAGUGGUAAGCAAAGGGUAAGAAGUAGAUGAAAAUGGAAAAAUAGGCCAGACAGCUCCUGAUGCUGUGGUAUAAGCUUUUGACUCUACAUAGUAGGGACUACUGGCUUCAAACCUUUUUGGCAACAAAGUUUAGGUGAGGCUACCCAGGGACCAUAGCCUUUGCUCCUUGCUCCUGACCUGAUCUGUCUUUUCUUCCACAGGUAAGAUCCUGAGGAGGCAGGAGAGGGACAGGGAAGGAGUAUGGGUAGGGGCAGGGGGAGCCCUGGCCCUCCUCCCCUUUCCUCCUGGAGCCUCCAGGGGUCUCAGGCAGCAUCAUCCCAGUCUACUGUACCCUCCUGGCCACUGUGGUCUUCGGUCUGCUUGCCUACGUGGCCUUCAAGUGCUGGCGCUCACAUAAACAAAGACAGCAGCUGGCCAAAGCUCUAACUGCAGGGCUGGGAGGUCUCAAUGACCAGAUCAAUGGGGAUAGCAGUGUCUUCCUGGACUCUCCUAGCAGUCUGGAGCCCCGUGCCUCCAGCCAGGCACCAGGAGAAAGUGGAGCGGCUGUUAGAGGUGUCACGUGAACCUGACAAGGGUGGGCGGGGACUGGCAGACCAUCUGGGCUACCGGGCUGAGGCUGUAGAAAUCAUGGCCCAAGGCCAGGUGUGAGCCUACACACUGCUGAGGGACUGGGCUAUCCAAGAAGACAGUGGUGCCACCCACAAGGUGCUAGAGAAUGCCCUGGUUGCCAUGGGCCAGGAAGAUGUGGUCCAGGUCCUGGGCUCCUAAGCUGAGGGCUGCUCUGUGGUGUCAGUGCUGUCUCCAUAGCUUGGACUCUCUGAGCCUGCUCCGGUGCUCCCCUACCCCCAUCUAUCUUUCCCUUCGUGGGCUUCCUGGGGUUGCUGGGCUCAGCCUGCUCUGUUCUGGGGAAGAAAACCGAAGAUCUAGCCACCAUUCACUUCCCCUCAUCCACCCAUCCCCUCCAGAAGAGGGCCCAAGAUAUGGUGAGGAGUGGGCAGUGAGGAGUGGUCCUGCCCUUUGGAUCCCUACUCCACCUCCUCUUAUUAAGCCUCAGCUGGUUUUGCUACUUUUGUAACCCAUAUUAAAGGUGAU